rnacentral:misc_RNA from 1 species
GUUGAACGUUUCUUCCUCCUCUUUUGGUGUUAAUGAAUCUUUCUGUGCUAACAAUCAGUUCUUUUUUCCUAAGUUUUCCUUCCCUGCACAAUUUGAUUAAUUUCUAGCAUUCCAUAAGAUAUUCACAGAUUGCACCUAGUUUCUUAUGCUUACAUAUUUUUGCCACUGCUGCUAUUUUCUUUGUGGUCACUCCACAAUAUAUCAAUGUUUCAGGUCGUUUGCACAAUUUUAGUAAAGCACUCAUUUAUGAUGUGCAUGGAAUUUUGAAUCUGCAAUAUAUCUACGUCUGGAGGCUAGAGGCCCCAACCCACUCUUUGCAUUUAGGAGAUUUCAAUAAAGCUGUUUUCUAGGAUUUCUUAGAUUGACAAUUUUAUAUGCAUCUUGCUUUUGCUGAUUGCAUAGCUUCGCAAAUUCUUAAUUAUGGAUUUAAACAUCAUAAAAAAAUUUUAAUAUGAGGCUUUAUGUUAAAGAUGUUAUGAAUUUGUGUUAACAAGCAAUUCAUUACAUGCUUACUCAUUUUCACUGCCUAAUUUCUUCAUAGCUGCUGAUUCAGUUUUGUCUCUUGUUCAAAGGGAUCCAUUGGAGAGUCAAUUUUUUUUUCCUUAUAUUUUGUGCUGGAAAUCCUUUAACUUAAAUUAUAUGAUCAUGCUCUGGAGUCUGGAAUCAUUUUUUGCUUUCUUUCUCUGUUUUCACAUCAAUGGGAAUGAAUCUUCAUUUUCUGAGCUGCAUGCUGAAAUGUUGCGCAGACAAUAUACUUUCUUU